rnacentral:sRNA from 1 species
AGACCAGAGAACUUCCCUGUGCCGCGAA